rnacentral:rRNA from 1 species
GUGGGGAAUAUUGGGCAAUGGGCGAAAGCCUGACCCAGCAACGCCGCGUGAGGGAAGAAGGUUUUCGGAUUGUAAACCUCUGUCCUUGGUGACGAAGGAAGUGACGGUAGCCAAGGAGGAAGCCCCGGCUAACUACGUGCCAGCAGCCGCGGUAAUACGUAGGGGGCGAGCGUUGUCCGGAAUGACUGGGCGUAAAGGGCGUGUAGGCGGCCGAUUAAGUCUGGAGUGAAAGUCCUGCUUUCAAGGUGGGAAUUGCUUUGGAGACUGGUUGGCUUGAGUGCGGAAGAGGUAAGUGGAAUUCCCAGUGUAGCGGUGAAAUGCGUAGAGAUUGGGAGGAACACCAGUGGCGAAGGCGACUUACUGGGCCGUAACUGACGCUGAGGCGCGAAAGCGUGGGGAGCGAACAGGAUUAGAAACCCGGGUAGUCC